UUCUAUCUUUUAGAAUUAAUUACAAUGAAGAAUACACUUUUGAUAAAUUUAAUGCUUACUUUAAAUAGCUAUUGUGGAAGGCAGAUUGAUAAAAAAGCAGACAAACAAAUAAACAAAAAAACCCCCAAAGGAAUGAAAUCAUUCCAUAUGAAGCAGGAUAUAACCAAAUUCUGUUGCCGAGUAAGACUUGAAAAUUAUUUUCAAGGUCACAUUAAUGCAUCAUCUACUGGCUUUCCCCUGGCUUCUGCUGUUACUUUGCCAGAUUCAGAUUUGAUUUAAUAAGCAACAGUUUAAGAAUAACCAUUUAGGAGCUAUCCUUGCAAUGCUCAGAAACAUGUUCAACUUGAAAGCAUCUUGGAGACUUUGUUGAACCAGAAGGACCAUAUCCUGUGCAUUUCUCAUUUUGCCCUGAAAUAAAACCUCUACUUUUCUUGUCCUGGCACUCUUACUUAUAAAGCCUGGCCUAUAAGUUUAAAUAUAUUUUCCUGCAGGAACAAUCCUUGCUACUUUACCUUUGCUUCAACCACACUAAAUAGUUGACAAAGCACAACUGCCAACUUUAAUGGGCUUCGCCUCCCCAGCCACUCUUCUCUUUACAACAAGGGUCUUCAUAUUCCAAAUGGAUGGUUUCUAAAGAGAACCAUUCAAUCAGCUUACUUUUCUAACUCUAGUGCUAUCUAGUUAAAAACAAAAAAAAAGUCUCCUUUUUUUCUUAACUGUAGUGUGAUGUUUUUCCUUUUAUUUUAUGAAUUCAGGAUGCCUGAUUAUUAUAAACUGUUCAAGUUUUCUAUCUUACAUCACACGAAGUCCUCUGACUUAAAUUAUAACUCUUUAUUUUAACUCUGUUUCCACCGUAAGUGUGGAAUUCUGAGGCUGUUAGAUUAUACUUUUUGAAGCCAGUUUCCUAUUUCUAAGACAGUUCAGGGUCUAAGAGAACAGAUUGAGAAAUUCAUCGAAGAUUGUGGGGUGUUCAAUCAAAGUACCUCUUCUUUGAAAUUUCUUUCAUAUUUACUACAAUGCCUUUUCUUUGUCUAAUUUUGUUUUAUUGUGGUAAGAUCAAUCUUCUUAAUAAAGUUUUAAGUGUAUAAUACAUUAUUGCUGACUGUAGGUUGAAUGCAGUACAGCAGAUAUCUAGAGCUUAUUUAUUUUGCUUAAUUAAAACUUCAUACCCAUAGAUUAGUUACAUGGAACAAUAUUCUGUGAAAAGAGGUGGGAAAGGUUGGAGAAAAGUGAGAUAAUGACCUGGGAAUAUAAGUAGAAUUGCCAGAUAGAAUACAGAAUGCGCAGUUAACUUUGAAAUUCAGAUAACAAUGAAAUUUUUUUCUUCUAUAAGUAUGUCCCAUGCAAUAUUUGAAACAUACUUUUUCUAAAAACUUUUUCAUUGUUUAUAUAAACUUCAAAGUUAAUUGUCGUCCUGUAUUUUUAUUUGCUAAAUCUGCAGCCCUAGAUAUGCGAGAAGUCUUGGUACAAAGGGCAAGAGCUGGUCAUGAGUGAGAAAAACUGCAUGUGGAGCUGGGUACACCCGGAAGGAGUUGGAACAGGAAGACUCUAGAGGCAAGAAUGACUAUAGGAGUGUGCAUUAAAAGGGAGGAAAGAAAACCUGCUUCUUAGUUUCUACAGUUACACUUCAUGAGAAUAUUUAAGAAAUAAAAUGAAAAUAACCUAAUUACUUUUAUAAACAAAUAGACAAAACAUCAAAUGUUAAUGUUUUAUCACAUUCCCACGUAAAACCCCAAAUGUGGGCUUUUAUAAAUUCUGAAUUCAAACUAGUUUUAUUUUUACAAAUCAUUUCUCAUUUUAUCUGAAAUAGUAACAUCGGAACUGUACUUUGUAAAGUUUAUUUUUUAAUAAAAUUGCAUGUCUUUGGAAAAUAGUUUAUGUUCCAGGAUUUGUUUCAAGAUAAUUUAUGUGUUUGCCCUGUAUGUUUAUUCCCCACACCUGUAUUCUAAGCACAUAGCUGACCCUUUUGCAGAUAGACCUCUGAGAUGUUUUGGCCUGGCAGAAAUCUUCAGUUACCAUCUGGCUAGGAAAAGCCUAAAAAGAUAAAUGCUAAGAUUGCUUCUGAGGACAACUAGAGACAGAGGAAAUAAGUGACUAUCAGAGCAACAGGUAUGAAGAAGAAAAAUAUUUCCCAGGAAAGAAAAAGAGAUGGAGGAGGAGAAUGGGAUGGUGAGGACUGACAUAUUUCCUUGUGGUAGUACUCUGCCUGUAGACUGGUGAGUGAAUGAUUUCCUUGAGAUAUGGUUGAGGAGGCUCAUCCCCAGGGCAGACAUAGAGAUCCUCAGCCUUCGAAAGUACAUCAAACAGCUCAAGUACAAAUGGAGCAUAGGCAGACCUGAAGGGACCCUGAGCACUAGGCCUGCCGUACCUCAGUAGUAACCAUAACAGACUAAUGGCUGAUGACCCAGGGCGUUCCUCAUUUCCAGGUAUUACCUAAGACCUGGGAACCUUUGCAUAACACUGGGCAAAGGGGGUGGUCCACACGCCCCUGGUUAAAUUUCCCACCAGCACAGCAGAUAUCUAGAGCUUACUUAGAUAAGGUGAGGUGAGUCAGAAUUAAGCUGAUUUGGGAAAAAGAAAGUGAAAUUUCUUGCACGCCUGUGGCCUAAGAUUUAUACCCAUGCUACAUAUUUGCUUCAUUUGAAUUCCACGUUUACCAAUUACUGGGAGGAAACCUUGUAUUUUUUUUUUCUGAUAAUUAUGCCUAAGGUAUCAUGAUAUGAAAUACUAAUUUUAUAAUUUUUUCUAAGAUAUUGUAGGUUAUAGAGAAAUUCCCAAAUUGCUUGAUUUUGAUUCAAGUAGGCCAGACUGUAACUAAUUGUGUUUCCUCUAAGAUUUGAGAAUAAUUGAAUCUGCUUUUGCUUUUUGCCAAGUCCUAGAGAGUAGUGCUCGAUAUAAUAAUAUUUCCCUAGCAUUACUUCAGCAGUCAAACAAGAAUAUAAUCCAAAAAGCCCCCUGUAUUCACAAUGACAAUGCUCUUAUGAUGAAACCACAGAAAGAAGUUGUAAUUAAUGCAAGGAAUAAUGUGAACAAUCUAUUAACAUAAUCUGAAUGAAAUCCUUGCACUGUUAAAUGCAGACACUAAGUGCUCAUAUAAUACUUUAUUAAUUAACAAAGUAUUUAUCCACAGGGAAAUGAGGAUAAGAGACCAUACACUUUGUCAGACUACAGGAAAAUGUAUUAGUGCUUCAUAAGAAAUGCAUACAAUUCAAACAAUAGCAUGAUUAUCUUUUUAAAGCAAUUACAUUUAAUCUCAGAAGAAAGAAUAAAUACAUUAAUUCUUCCAUGUUCCCUGAUAAGCCACCAAGAUACAUAAGCGAUCAUUUUCUUUUCCUACAGCUCUGGAGGCUGGUGACAAUUCAGCGUGUGCUGCUUAGACAACUUAUACAGUGAAAUACCACUUAGCACACAAAAACACAUUAUGAGAUUAACUGACUUUUGGCUGAAUAGAGUUCUCUUCCCUGGGAAGCUGUGGUUUGUACUUAACUUUGCACAUUCCUUUCAUCUUUGGAGACUUGAAUCAUGAGAAGGUGGAUGCUUUAGUCUGGUUAGUAUUGUUAAAACAGAAUACCUGAGGCUGGGUAAUUUAUGAAUAAAACAGUUUUAUUUAACUCAUGGUUCUGCAUGCUGGGAAGUUCAAGAGCACGGCGCUGAUUUCUAGAAAGGCUUUCAUGCUGCAUCAUAGCAUGACAGAAAGUCAACAGGGGAGUGGAUGUGAAGAAGGGGCCAAAUAGGUAAAGGAAACUUGCUUUAUAACAACUUGCUGUUGUGGGAACUAAUCUAUAUCUGUGACAGCAGGAACUCACUUUUCAAGAAGGCCUUAACCUAUUCAUAGGGAUACACCCCCCAUGACUCAAACACCUCUGACUAGGCCCCACCUUCAAUACUGCUACACUGGCAAUAAAACUUCAAUAUGCAUUUUGACAGGAACAAACCACAUCCAAACCACAGCAGUGGAUUGCCUAUAAUAAUGGUGUUUGGUGUUGAAUUCCAAGUCUGUAUUUUGUUGUUGUUGUUGUUGUUGUUUUAUCUUGAUGUGCUGGGUUAAACCAAGUAUCAUCACCAAAAAUGUCUUCCACCUUUAAAGUUCCAAAUGGAAGCCAAAGUAGUUAGCACCAUGACUUCCUUCUUUCGGCCUCACUCGCUCUUCUUGACCUUCCAGACCUGGGAGCUGAUAAGCAGAAGGUCCACCCUGCAUCAUAUUAGCACAUUGUGACAUUAUAUGAUGAUCUACUUACAGGCCUUGUGGCCAACAACUAAUAAGACAGAGUUUUAGCCAACAUGGCUCUUAUUCAUCACCUCCUAAGCAAUAACCUGAUUAUCAGAGCUCCAGGUUCCAGCCCUAUACCAGUCUCUUGUCAAUCAGUAUCAGAAGGUCUGCUCCAGAUUAUCUUAUGGUUGCUUUAUAGCUGCCUCCAAUGGCUACUGGCUUCUCAGAAAUAUCCCUUUCCAGUUUAACCUAGGGACCAAGACCCAGAGUACUAUAUGCCCUCAGAUGUCAUAAUUCCUCACUGGGUUUGCAGCAGAUACAUGAGAGUUGAUAUAAGACUACAAUGGUAAAAAAAAGAAAAUGUAUCCUGAAUAAGAUGUUCAAUAGGAGAAGGCAUAGAAUCAAGAGACCUAAGUCCUCUAUGUCAUAUGGUAUGACAUUAAGAAAAUAAUUCCACCUUUAAGGCUUCUGUUUAUGAGAUCCAUAAAAUGGCUGUAUUAAUUAUUUUUCUGUUGCUUCCUGGGGACUGUUGUGAUGAAGAAUUAUUACCACACAUGUGAAAGGGUUUUGAUUUUUUGAAAAGUACAGAAUGUUAAACAAAUGCAUUGCAUCAUUGAAUUAAGUCAGCCCUUCAUAAUGUUUUUCCUAAAGCAUGUCCAUCAACCAUUGCAAUGUACCAUGGAAAAAAAUGCUUAUAAAUGUUACAUGAUCGAAUACAUUUGGCAAAAACUACCUAUGGUAUCUUCUUCUAAAAGAUGGAUGAUGCUUGUUGGCAUAAUAAAGAUUCGGAAAAUUCCUAUCAAAAAGACACUUGUUAAAUUUUGGUUAACUCAAUGUUUUCCUUACUUUUUUGACCGCUGAACUUUUUUUAAAAAUGGCAUUAGCCAUGAGGGGAAAAGACAUAAAAAUAUAAAACAACAACAAGUAUUUCAUGAAACUAGUUUUCUAUAAAGCAUAAUUUAAGAAGCUGGGUAGAAAGCUGUUUCAAAUGUGACCCUGAAAUGAAAUGUGAAGACAUCAUAGUUUGUAAAAAAAAAGUUGCUUAUUUUUAUGUAAGUAUUCUUAGGCUAAAGCUUGAAUCGUGUCAAUAUGAAAUUAAAAGGUAUCCUAUGUUGUUUUCCACCAAGUUUUAUGGCUUUCCAUUCAUCAAUUUAAAUAUUAUGGUUAAGAUACUGAUAUUUCUAGGCAAAGGGCAAGGAGACAGUCAGAACUUCUCACAUUCCUCAUUGCUGCCACAACUUCCUUCCCAACCACCUCGGUGAAAAACAAACAUCGGAAGGGAGGAGGUAAGGGGAAAAGUGAACAAAUCCUUUCAACCAACCCUGUAUGUCAGGAGAUGACUAUCCAAGUAAAAUUAUAAGAUCAGUAUCAUUUUCAAAAUCUGGCAACCAGAGAACAGCAAUGGGCCAGGUUUUGAGUUUGGUUUCCAUGCACCUUAUCACUUUCUCUCACUUCUCUGUCUCCAUCUUCCUUAGUCAUUUUUCUCAUUGUGUCUUCUUUGGUUUUCUUUAGCAACUCUAUUUCUUUUUUUUUAAUUUUUUUUAUUUUUUUUUAUUUUUUAGAUAUUAUUGAUUGUAAAGUAUACCAUGGAUUUAGUAAUAACUUGGGCAGAAAGAAAGUAGAUAUAGUGAUUUUUUACAGAUCAAUUCUGUAAAAUCAUAUGAUUUUAUAAAUUUAUUUGAAUAAAAGACAACCAUAAAGUACUUGCUAUUACACCAAACACAAUUCUAGGCCCUUUUUAUUUAUAAUUCAUUUACUCUUCAUAAUUACUUGAUCAUAGAUACUCUUGUCUUUAUUUACAGAUGAGGAAACUGAAGCAGAGAAAUAAGGAAUCUGUCCAAAUCUCACAGCAAUGAUAGCACAGUUCAGAGGACCAAGAAGCUGAGGGAUAGUGCAAUGUGAGGCAAUACCCUUAAUGGCUCAUAGGCAGAAGAGACUUGCCUUGUCAUGGUUGAGACUUUGGACUGUGGACUUUUGAGUUAAUGCCAAAAUAAGUUGAGACUUGGGGGACUGUGGAAAGGAAUUACUGCUCCGUGGAAGGAAAAAUCAGCUCUUGCAUAAAUCAUAUCUUUUUCUGUCAGAUUUGGGUUCAUUUGGUCGACUGGCAUUUAUGGAGUGCUCCUUACAAAGUGAAUAAGUAAUAAGAAUUCCUGACCUCAUGGAGUUUACAAUCUGGAGAUGGAGUUCCCCUAUUUCCUUCUUUGUUUUGCCAACUUCCAAGGGGCUCUGUGAUUUCCUAAGAGAAUGAAGGAGGAAGGUGUGCACUUCUAAACAAAAUGGAGGCUCAUGAGCAAAACCUGCGGAGCUGCCCGGCAAUGAAGUGAAGAGACUUGUAACUUGGUGCCUGAGCCUGUUCUAGAUGAGGGAGGGAAAGGAAGGAGUUCAUUUGGAAUCGGAAGAAAAUGAAAAGAACGGCUCUCCCAUGCGCUUGUCCUGAGCCUGGAGCUGCUGCUUAUAAUUUCUCCAUGAGAAAUGAUUACUGCUUGUUUUAAAACACCCAUGCUGUGUUGAAUCUUGCACAGAAAACAUUAUGAUCUCGACACUUUCCUUCUCAUAACUGAAGCACACACUUUAAGACGAGUAUUUUAUAUUCUCAGCUCCAAUUAACCUGAAGUGUUUCUCUUCCCUAUGUCUCCCCCCACCCCCACACCCUUCACCUGAGUCUAUCCUUCUACCCUUUGUAACAGACAGAUUUUGUUUUUCCAGGAGGGGAUGUGUGAUAUACUCUGUUAUAAUUAAUAAGUGUAGGCACUGGAAAACAGGAAGGGGCAUGAUAUAAAGUAGUAGAUGAGCAGCUUCACUCUUUCUCCACUAUAUUCCUACUUCCUAUCCCUUUUCCUCCACUCACUGUGGAUGGUUAUUUGAAAUAACAGGCAUGGAUAAGAGAAAAUAAAAGCUACCAUUUGUCUCUGAGGCUGCACCCUUUUGUAGCCCCACCCAUUCAUCCAUAUGUGGCUUUCCCAUUCAUUCCAGUAAUAAUACCAAUUACUAUGCAGGCAAGGCCAUUCUUAUUCACAUUUGCAGCUCACUGUGGACAUUUAUGCUACACUCUGAGCAACAUUCAUAUCUUCAACAACAUCGAUUAUACAGCUGUUGUACAGUCAUUGUAAAUGAAAUAUACAAUGCCUCAUUCAGCUCGCCGAAUCAUUUGUGAUCCUUGGAUGUGGGGCAGGAGGGAGGUAGCUGUUCCCUCUGCCUUACUUUUCUCUGGCACUGACCUCAUUUUCUAAGUCCAGAUACUUCCAGGGGCUUAGGGUAAGGAAGAGGCCAACAGGCCAGUUUGUAAAUAAGAACCAAAAAAGCUGAAGCAGUGGUUUGUUUUUGUUUGUUUGUUUUAGUUUUUUGAAGGAGGGACUUUGGAAUCCAGUUUAAUGGAAAAAGGAGGCCCCAGAGUCUUCAGCGUUACAAACAAUGACUGUUCCUGGACUUGUGUGAACACACAUCCCAGGUCAGACAGAUGGACCUUGACUCAAGCUUUCUGAGAUCACCCAACCAGAAUGUCCAGUGUAGGCACAUGCUUCUCUCUUUGUGCUAUUUCCUCUCUUUCCUCAUCAACUUUCCUCCUCUGUUCUCAACAGGUUACAUUUAUUGGGCAAAACCAUUAUUACAUAUCCGUUUUUUCUUCUUUGAGGAAAUUUUUAAAUUUGGUCUGCCUUUUCCAAAGAUAUCUAAUUCAUGAAUCUUUCGAUGUUCUUUUCUUUCCCCAAUUUUGGUUCUUUCAGCCCUCAGACUCAGAUAGCUGAAUUGACAUACACAAGAUGCUCUACACGUGACCAUCCACUCACCCAUGUACAGUCACAUGCAACGAUUGCAAGUCAAAUUAUGUUUGUUUUAUAGAUAAAAAGGUCAAUGUCUUAAAGAAGGCUAUAUAGAUAAUAAAUGAUGGAACUGAGACUUGAGUGAAAAGACUAGCUUUUUUCUCUAUAAAAAUUUAUUUUUAUUUAUCAAACGCUUUGAUAUUUCUUUAUCUAAAGUUUUUCAAAUAAACUUUUUUAUAUUUUA